rnacentral:tRNA from 1 species
UUAAAAUUAGUUAAUUAAUAAUAUAAAUAUGUCAUAUUUAAGUAAAAGUAAAUUAUUUUAAU